UACGUAGGCAGCAAGCGUUGUUCGGAAUUAUUGGGCGUAAAGAGCGUGUAGGCGGCCAGGUAGGUCUGCUGUGAAAACUCGAGGCUCAACCUCGAGACGUCGGCGGAAACCAUCUGGCUAGAGUCCGGAAGAGGAGAGUGGAAUUCCUGGUGUAGCGGUGAAAUGCGCAGAUAUCAGGAAGAACACCCGUGGCGAAGGCGGCUCUCUGGGACGGUACUGACGCUGAGACGCGAAAGCGUGGGGAGCGAACAGG
rnacentral:rRNA from 1 species